GGUGGAAUUGGCAGACACGCUAGAUUUAGGAUCUAGUGCCGUGAGGCGUGUGGGUUCGAGUCCCUCC
rnacentral:tRNA from 1 species